rnacentral:pre_miRNA from 1 species
AAGUUACUCCCUCCGUUCGGAAUUACUUGUCACAAAAAUGAAUGUAUCUACAACUAAAAUACAUCUAGAUACAUUCAUUUCUUGGACGAGUAAUUCCGAAAGGAGGGAGUACUAC